rnacentral:rRNA from 1 species
AUUAAUACCCCAUAAUAUAUUGAAUGGCAUCAUUUGAUAUUGAAAACUCCGGUGGAUAGAGAUGGGCACGCGCAAGAUUAGAUAGUUGGUAGGGUAACGGCCUACCAAGUCAGUGAUCUUUAGGGGGCCUGAAAGGGUGAUCCCCCACACUGGUACUGAGACAGGGACCACACUACUACGGGAGGCAGCAGUGAGGAAUAUUGGACAAUGGGUGAGAGCCUGAUCCAGCCAUCCCGCGUGAAGGACGACGGCCCUAUGGGUUGUAAACUUCUUUUGUAUAGGGAUAAACCUUUCCACGUGUGGAAAGCUGAAGGUACUAUACGAAUAAGCACCGGCUAACUCCGUGCCAGCAGCCGCGGUAAUACGGAGGGUGCAAGCGUUAUCCGGAUUUAUUGGGUUUAAAGGGUCCGUAGGCGGAUCUGUAAGUCAGUGGUGAAAUCUCAUAGCUUAACUAUGAAACUGCCAUUGAUACUGCAGGUCUUGAGUAAAGUAGAAGUGGCUGGAAUAAGUAGUGUAGCGGUGAAAUGCAUAGAUAUUACUUAGAACACCAAUUGCGAAGGCAGGUCACUAUGUUUUAACUGACGCUGAUGGACGAAAGCGUGGGGAGCGAACAGGAUUAGAUACCCUGGUAGUCCACGCCGUAAACGAUGCUAACUCGUUUUUGGGUCUUCGGAUUCAGAGACUAAGCGAAAGUGAUAAGUUAGCCACCUGGGGAGUACGUUCGCAAGAAUGAAACUCAAAGGAAUUGACGGGGGCCCGCACAAGCGGUGGAUUAUGUGGUUUAAUUCGAUGAUACGCGAGGAACCUUACCAAGGCUUAAAUGGGAAUUGACAGGUUUAGAAAUAGACUUUUCUUCGGACAAUUUUCAAGGUGCUGCAUGGUUGUCGUCAGCUCGUGCCGUGAGGUGUUAGGUUAAGUCCUGCAACGAGCGCAACCCCUGUCACUAGUUGCCAUCAUUCAGUUGGGGACUCUAGUGAGACUGCCUACGCAAGUAGAGAGGAAGGUGGGGAUGACGUCAAAUCAUCACGGCCCUUACGCCUUGGGCCACACACGUAAUACAAUGGCCGGUACAGAGGGCAGCUACCUAGCGAUAGGAUGCGAAUCUCGAAAGCCGGUCUCAGUUCGGAUUGGAGUCUGCAACUCGACUCUAUGAAGCUGGAAUCGCUAGUAAUCGCAUAUCAGCCAUGAUGCGGUGAAUACGUUCCCGGGCCUUGUACACACCGCCCGUCAAGCCAUGGAAGUUUGGGGUACCUGAUAGUCGGUGACCGUAACAGGAGC